CAGUGGAGGUGAGGGGAUCUUGCUGGAGAUCCCUGCGUACUUGAGGUUUUCUGGAGUGCCUACUAUCUAUUCUGGAGUACUUAUCUGCAGAAAGCUCAAACUCUACACCUAUCUCAGCUUUCAAGUGUCUAUGGAAGCAUUGCCUUUGGUAUAAGGUGCUCACCUUUUUCAUGUGCUCAUAGCACAUUUGGGGUUAGACUGUGUGACUGUGACCUAAACAUGCAAAAAUCGCAGUGAAGGAGAAGCAUCAGCAGAAAAGGGUUCUGUUCUCCAUUGCAACAUUAACAAUAGCAUUAGUAAGGCUGUGAACUGUUGCCUCAUUCCCUGGCCUGAGUGGGAAGCAAAAGACAAGGCUGGGCGUCUUAACUGGAUGUGUUAGUGCUGGGGAAAAAACAGCCAUCAAAGCUAAAACCUUCUGUGGAAAUGUGCAUUAAAAAAACAAAACAAAAAAAAACAAACAAACAAAACAACAAAAAAAAAAAACAAACAAAAAAACAAACUUUUGCUGCAUGUUCCUCCCGGACUGGAGGGACAAACUUCUCCAUCAGAAGAGCCCAUACUUUUGUUAUCACUGCAGGGCGGAAAGCCUGAACCUGUCUUACUGUUCUUCCCUGUUUGGUAUCAUGCAUUUCUGCAAGGAAUAGCAACUACAGAGGGCACUUGUUGAGGAAGGUGCUGCCUUACUUCACGCUGAGGGGUGAAAAAAUACCUGACAUCUUGACAUUUUUUCACUACGUGAAAUUCUUUUUCUCACAGCAAGUUCUUUUUAAA